rnacentral:rRNA from 1 species
GUCUACGGCCAUGCCACCCUGAAUGCACCCAAUCUUGUCUGAUCUCAGAAGCUAAGCAGGGUCAAACCUGGUUAGUACUUGGAUGGGAGACCACCUAGGAAGACCUGGUGUUAUAGGCA